UACGUAGGGUCCGAGCGUUGUCCGGAAUUACUGGGCGUAAAGAGCUCGUAGGUGGUUUGUCGCGUUGUUCGUGAAAACUCACAGCUCAACUGUGGGCGUGCGGGCGAUACGGGCAGACUGGAGUACUGCAGGGGAGACUGGAAUUCCUGGUGUAGCGGUGGAAUGCGCAGAUAUCAGGAGGAACACCGGUGGCGAAGGCGGGUCUCUGGGCCGAUACUGACGCUGAGGAGCGAAAGCGUGGGGGAGCGAACAGG
rnacentral:rRNA from 1 species